rnacentral:lncRNA from 1 species
GAGUAUCUGCCCUCUAUCUUUGUAUUCUUUCUUUUAUUUAUGCUUUGUCUUUGAUGUUUGUAAUCAGACUUUGUCCCAAUUUUGUAACUGGACUUCGGCUCAAUUUUAUAAGUCAUCUCAACUUAACAAAAUCAAAGACUUUUCACACUUUUCUUGCAUGCGGUCCAAAAAUUUUUGAUUUACCGAGCCAUCCUCGAGUGUAUAGGUCGUAGCUCCGACACACCUCAUUAGGAC